CAGGAAAGCCGGGCUGGGCUCGGGACUCUCCCUGCAGCACCUGGUGCACCCCGAGCUCAAGGACGGAGCCCAACAGACCGCGCAGUGCCUGGAGCUCUUUGCCGAGACGGCCGAGGCGCUGCUCAUCAAGCACGGCAAGAGGAUCGUGGACGAGCAGUUCGCCCUGAAGCGCGUGGGCCGAGUUAUCGACG